rnacentral:misc_RNA from 1 species
GUUUGAUAUCUUUCUAGUUGCUUCUGGCGGAAUCAGAAACGGGGAAGGAAAAGUUGGAACUUGGAAGCGAUAAAAUGGCCGGAGAGCAUAUUAUGAGGAGAAUUCCACGGAUUAAAUUCCCACAAAGACACCCGAAAUCUUCAUCUUCUGGUUCCAUUUCCAAAUCUCAUGCAAUGUCAAGGUCAGAUGUGCCGGCACCACCCUCUAACACUGCUGUAGGAGGCAAAGCUUCUCUUCAGCCUAAGCGUACACCAGUCUCUGAGAGAGAAAUAGAGACCAUUCUGGUAAGCGUAACAUCGUUUUGUGCCCUAGUCAGAAUUCAUAUUUCUAGAUUCAGAAUUGUUGCUGCAAAACCAAACCCUCUCAGAAAAUUGGAAUUCAAGUAAAAUGAGAAUCUGAAUGAAUGGGACAUGAGUUGCUUUGGACAUUGCAAUGAGGUUUUAAAUCUUAUUUUAGUUCCAUUUUGCAUUAACUCUGUAUUUCUCACUUAACCAACAUAUUAAUUAUCGUACUCCAGGCAAUUAUUGUUGUACUUUAUUUAUUGAUGCAAUCAUUUUAUUACAAACCAUUUAUGAUCUUUUUCAUAUUAAAUGUUAAUAUAUUUUUGAAGACAGUGAUGCUUACAUCUGGCAAAUUGCCAAAUUAAGUUAUAAAGUGACGAAGAAGCUUGAGCUCGGAUACCAUGAACAGAAUUGAAGAUCAACUCUAAACUAAUCAAAUCACUGUAAUAUCAAAAAGUUGUAAUACAAAGCAAUUAUUUGUUUCCAUUAUUCUCUGAUAUUGAAGUUUUUGGAUUAGUUUAGAGUUGAUUUUCAAUUUUGUACAAUCUUCUUUAUGUUUUGUAAGGUUAAUUAUUGAAUUUUCAUUCAAAUAGCUUUUAUUUGAUAUGUAGAUAACAAAAUUCAUUUUGGCAAAAUUGAUUGCUUUAGUUCAUCAUGAGAUUUCACAUUGACAUCCAAAGGGUAGCUUCUUGUUUUUCAGCUUGCAAGUGAACAAACUAAUAUAGACUAGCACGGUCUAUGAAUGGGGGUAUCCGCUUUGCGGUCAAGUAGAUUGACCCAUGUUCCAUGGCAAAAGACCCAACUAGAUUCAAUAACUUCUGAGAAUUUAUUUGAAGUAUAUCUAAAUCCAAUUAUUUCAAAAAUAUGUGAGCCCAAGUAGGAUAAUGCCAUCUGUUGCCUUUCCAUUCGAUGCUGUACAUGUUAAACUAAAAUAUGAGAGUUCUGCAGUUUCAAUUGUUUAAGCAUAUCAUUUCAUCCAAAUAUAUUUCCUGGCCAAAUGCUGAUUUUCAUCCUCUCUUUUGCAGCUGGGUGGGUGCUUCUGACUCAGCAACCGAUAUGGCUUAUGGCCAGUACUAAUAAAAAUUCCUGUCUGGUUUCUGAGCCCAUGCUUUUGCUGUAUGAAAUGUUGAUUUUCACCUUUUGUUCGUGUCAUAUCUAUGAAAUUGUUGUAAUGAAAUGAUGGAGACCGUUAAUUAUUCUCAAAUAUGAUGCCAAAGAAUUCCUGAAUAUACUUCUCCAGUGUGCUCUUCCAGGUGUAACAUGCUGGAGAACCCAAUAUGAUAAGCAAUAUAUUAUAUUCCUUCAGUGCUCGAUCAAUAUCAUCAUAAUUGGCAGAUGCAACCAUAAAUUUGUGAAUAACCCAAUGGCCAAUGUCUCUUGUUUGCUGAUCAGAUCAUGACAAGAGGAUGGGGACGUGAACAUAUCUGUUGAAAAUGAAAAUCUCUGCUAUGAAUUUGAUGAUUUGCCAAUAGCCGUCUCGUAAUGAGCUUUAUGUCUUUUGCCUGCCUUCGACGAGGACUGCUUCAAAUCCCUAUCAGCGUUAAAUUCAAAUGAGAACUCAAAUUUCUAGCUUCUUGCAUGAUUGCCUGCUUUUCUAACAGAGGAAUUAUCGAGUAGGAUGAUUUAAGUAUUCACCAUUUAAGUUGGAUAAUUACACUCCAAAAGACAUUUGCAUAUCAUAUGGGAAAAAAUAUUUUAGGUACUGAUGCACUGCUCUUGGGAGGAUAUCAAAA